rnacentral:rRNA from 1 species
CCUACGGGGGGCAGCAGUGAGGAAUAUUGGUCAAUGGACGAGAGUCUGAACCAGCCAAGUAGCGUGAAGGAUGACUGCCCUAUGGGUUGUAAACUUCUUUUAUAUGGGAAUAAAAUGUUCCACGUGUGGGAUUUUGUAUGUACCAUAUGAAUAAGGAUCGGCUAACUCCGUGCCAGCAGCCGCGGUAAUACGGAGGAUCCGAGCGUUAUCCGGAUUUAUUGGGUUUAAAGGGAGCGUAGGGGGAUUGUUAAGUCAGUUGUGAAAGUUUGCGGCUCAACCGUAAAAUUGCAGUUGAAACUGGCAGUCUUGAGUACAGUAGAGGUGGGCGGAAUUCGUGGUGUAGCGGUGAAAUGCUUAGAUAUCACGAAGAACUCCGAUUGCGAAGGCAGUUCACUGGACUGCAACUGACACUGAGGCUCGAAAGUGUGGGUAUCAAACAGGAUUAGAUACCCUUGUAGUC